ACGUAGGGUGCAAGCGUUAAUCGGAAUUACUGGGAGUAAAGCGUGCGCAGGCGGUUCGGAAAGAGAGGUGUGAAAUCCCAGGGCUUAACCUUGGAACUGCACUUCUAACUACCGGGCUAGAGUACGUCAGAGGGGGGUAGAAUUCCACGUGUAGCAGUGAAAUGCGUAGAGAUGUGGAGGAAUACCGAUGGCGAAGGCAGCCCCCUGGGAUGAUACUGACGCUCAUGCACGAAAGCGUGGGGAGCAAACAGG
rnacentral:rRNA from 1 species